CGACGGCGCCGCCGAGCGGCUCGCGCGUGGCGACCUCAUCACCCCUCGGACCGAG
rnacentral:misc_RNA from 1 species